rnacentral:lncRNA from 1 species
GUUCAGCCGUGCCCCUCCUCCGAGCCCUGGGGUCCAGUGCUGACACGCCAGGACAGCUCAGCCUGCCAGCACCCAGGCCUCACCCUCCUGCUGUGUGAAAUGGGACCCAGUCCCCCUCAGUUGCGGAGCUCAGCGAGCUGGCCAGCGUGCUUCCAAGCCAGUGGGUUCCUGGUAGGCUCCUGCUGGGCGGGGUCUCAGGGCACCCUGUCUUGGAAAGGGGCUUAGGGCCAGACCUUUCUCUGCCUUACACCAGGGGCUACAACUUGGCCUCCAGGCGGCAGCUGGGGGUUCCUGAGGAGGGUCCACAUCCUCCCUUCCCUCUGGCUGGUUCCAGCAGGGAUUCCAAACAGGCCUGGGACCCAGUUCUCCUCUUACUGGUGCCAGGCAAGAGGUUCUAACCCGCUCCUGCCCUCGGGGGCUUCCAGUCCAAAGCAAGACACUAUUCUUUCUUUCCUUAACCUGCUCCCACUGUGCCUAUCCACGAGUGACUUCAUCUACCUUUCAAGGAAUGUAUAGCUGGCCCAUUUUACGGGGGAGGAAACUGAGGCUCAGCAAGAAGAAACUUGCCCAAAGCCCCACCGUAAAGUGUUAAAGCUGGGAGGUGGGCCAAAGAAAGCCUCUCCCUGUGCUCUGCUGCCGACGGAGAGGACCAGCCCCAGGCUUCAUGGGAGGUGAUGAAGGAAGUCAGCCUGGGGAGACUGUGGAGUCUGGCAUGCAGCCAGGCCCUUGCUCUGGGGCCCCCAACCCAGCCCUCAAAGUGGGAGGUGGUGCCUGCUGAGAAAAAAAGGAAGGAAGAACCCGAGAGAGGAAGCUGAAUAGGAAUGGGUUGGGGCAGGGUCUCCUGCCUCCGGUCAGAGAUGAGGGUCCAGGUGGAGGAUGUCGAGGGACCUGGCUCAACCUCAGGGUUCCGCUCAACUCAAAGUUGGGACGAGGCCCUGGCAGGAAAAGCUCUAGAACCUGUCAGGCCCUGCAAAGCUGAAGGAUGCGUCCAACAGGACCAGAUCUUUGUUGUUCCUGCCACAGGGAGGCUCGUUCCAUCCCUUCCCCAUCUAACAAAACUCCUAUGCAUCCUUGAUACCCAGCUUUCAAUGUCACCUCCCUGUUGACACAGCCAGGGAGCCAGUGUAACUGUCAGCUCAACACCUAGUUCCUUCCUGCCAACAGCGGCAAGAACCAUUUCCUCUGUGCUGCACUUCACAAGCCUGGGCCCUGCUUCUCAAAAGGAGCCCGCAUGGGAGACCGGGGCCCGACCAGCAGAGGGUGUGGGCAGGGCCAGGGACCACCUUGUGUCCAGCUCAGGGCAGGCCUGAUGUGAGAAAUGUGCACGGAACAGAGCCAAUCACACAGGUCCAAGGUCACCCAGUCUGGCAGCAAUGCCAACAACUGACAGUUGGGAGAUUACAAAACACCUGGCUUCUCAUGGCAAGCCUGGUCCCACUUGUUUCUGCCUGGCCCCCUCACUGGGAGCGAGAGCUUUCCCUCCAGGUCACCCAGGCCCAACCUCUGCCUGCCCAUCAUCGGGGAAUGGGUUUGUGACCCCUGGCCUGGGCCAAGUGCACACCCUGACAGGCAUGUCUACACACACAGCCUCCCGAACUCCUGCCAACAAACCAGCCAAGCAAACAACGGCCAAGGGAGACUCAGGAAAUCCCCAAAUAACUGAAACAGCAGAUGCCUGGCCCAUCCCAGUCCUCCUGGACCAGACACUUUGGAGGGAUGGGGAACAAGGGCACCUAGAUGUUUAACAAAUUCCCCAGAAGUUGUCACAGCACAGCUAGAUUUGGGAAUCUCUACCCUAGCUAACCUCAGAAAGCUGGGGAGCCCAUAGUUCUGCUGGUGCAGAACAGUCACCAUAAUAACCAUGCUGUUUCCCCGGCGCCAACUUGGUGAGUCCUCCCAGCAACACUGGCAGGUCAGGACACCAAGGCUCAGAGAGGUGAGGUCCAAGGCCAGUCAGCUGGAAUCGUGAGUGCGCAGGUGCAUGACCUAAGCAGUCUGGCCAUAAAGCACCCAUGACUAGCCACCAAGCCAGCAGCCUUGACUGCUCCUCUUAUGUCAGGAUGUCUUGCAGAUGGCUGAGUAGUGCCAGGCCCAAGGCACUCCUGCAGAGGCCCAGGCCUGUGGGUGUCUGCUCUGUGGCCAGCCCCCUACAAAGGCACCCACUCCCCAGGGCAGGGAAGGUGGUAAGGAGCUGUGAAAGCAAGCCAGGAGACAGAAGGGCCUCCAGCCGUGGGUAAGAAUGUCAGCCCUCACAGACUCACACAUGACAGUGACUUCUAGCGAGAUUCUUGCCUACAGACCGUGGGCAAGGGCUUCCCCUCCCGAGCCUCAGUAUCUUCAUCUGUAAAAUGGGAACAGCCCAAUAACUACCUCCCAGUUUCCCAUCAAGGACUGCUCCAAGGCAACAGCAGAAGCAACUUGUAAAGUUUGAACUUAGCUUGGGUGUGAAUGAUCAUUAUUAGCGAAUACGACACGCUGACCUCCAUUUCCAACCUCAAGCAGAGCUUGAAGGGUGCCACUUCCGGGGCAGCAGGCAGAUAUGCCACUCUAGGGGAAUACCUCAGCUGGUAAGAGUGGAUCCUGGUUCUUUAAGCCCUGCCAGGAACAGGGGUGGCGUAGAAGGGUUACACCCACUUCAUGGCUGAGAAAACUGGAGCCGAGAGAAAGGAAGUAAGUUACUCUAGGCCACAAGACCAGAGAGAACGGAAUUGGUCCUAGUUGGCCUCCUAGGCCCAAACUCCCCCAAGCCAUAACUCCUGUGGCAUCAGUAGCUGGAGGAAAUCACCUAAUCCCGAGUCUCCAAGCCAUACAGGAGGCUGGGAGAGCACUCUCUUUCAGGCACCCAUCUUUAGCUCUGUAGUACAGAGAAGCAAGCAAGGCCCAGAGUUGGAGCUAGCAACUUGCUCAAGGUCAAAUAGCAAGGGUGGCCAGGUGGCCUCCCCUAACAACUGCUCUGCCCGUCCACAUCUCCAUGCUGUCCUAUCACGGAGCUCUGUGUGAACGGGUCUUGAGAGUCCCGUCGCUGAGCCCCGU